GACGUAGGGCGCGAGCGUUGUCCGGAAUUAUUGGGCGUAAAGCGCGUGUAGGCGGCUCGGUAAGUCUGCUGUGAAAGUCCAAGGCUCAACCUUGGAAAGCCGGUGGAUACUGUCGAGCUCGAGUCCGGAAGAGGCGAGUGGAAUUCCUGGUGUAGCGGUGAAAUGCGCAGAUAUCAGGAGGAACACCAAUGGCGAAGGCAGCUCGCUGGGACGGUACUGACGCUGAGACGCGAAAGCGUGGGGAGCAAACAGG
rnacentral:rRNA from 1 species